CUGGUUCUCCUGGUUCUCCUGGUGGUUUUGGUGCGGUACGUCUGCAGGAGGUCCAAAGGUGAGGGUGUGAAGCCGGGAGCUGAUGAUGUCACAUACAGUGACAUCAGAAUAACAUGUGACUCACAGCGACCAAUCACACGGAGGAAAGACUGUGCUCCUGGUUCAGUUUCCUCAGAGGUGAAAGGACCUGGAGACGUCACUUAUGGACAAGUGGUCAUCAAACCCCACAGGAAUAAAGCCUCUCCAUCAGAACCAGAGGUUAUUUACUCUUCGUUGAAGUAGACCUCCAUCCCAGUUCAACCACUGAUGUCCAACUGGUGGUCCAGGGGCUGCAGCUGGACCCGCAGAUCCUCAAAGUGACCUGCAGUACAUCUGUUUAUUUAUUCUGCAUGUUGCAUGUAAAGAUAUCUGUAGUGGAGCAAACCCAUUAAAAUAUGGAGCUGAAUCCUCCGAUUGUUCACAUGCUUUUGUUUUGACCUCAGGAGUUUCUGCUGUUAAUUUGCACAACCUCAUGAUGAGCUUUUUUGAUACGUGGUUACAUACAUUCUGUUGAACAGGAUCUGGGGAUAAUUGCCAAUUUUAUGUUUAAUUUAAUUUAAAUGUUGCCGCAGUGACCCAACUUCCCACACGGUCAAAGUUUAAUCUCAUUUGUCUUCUUGUUUGUUUGUUUCUGUGGUUUUGUCAAAGCUGUGAUGGAAAAUUCUGCCGGUUUCAGUUCACUUGUGGCUAACCAACCUGCACCAGCCCUCUCCCAAACCCUCCCCUCCACCCUGAGCCUUCUCUGUAUGUGUUAAUGAGUCAGAGUUUUUUAUAUCAGGCGCAAGAGAACGUUCUCACACAACCACAACCGCAUUCUAUUAACAGCCUUCAAACUGGAGCUCUUUCUGCUGAGUGUGUAUAAAGAGACUAACGUCCAAAAACCAUCAGCUGGACUUAAAAUGUA